UCUUGCCCACAAGAUCUGGGUAUUGCCUUCGUAGAUCAUCAAUAUCUUCCCAGGUAGCAUCUUCUAUAUUUGCUCCUUUCCAUUGAAUGAGUAGUUCAGCUCCAGCCCUAUGCCCCUUUCUUUUGAUUCUUCGCUGUAGGACCUGUUCUGGUUCAGGAAUGAGAGUUCCUUCAGUAGUGACUUGAGGAAGUGUUGGUAUAGGCUGGACUUUAUCUCCAAGAUGUUUCUUGAGACAUGAAACAUGGAAGGUAGGAAAGAUUCGAGAUUCUUUGGGAAGAUCUAGUGUAUAUGCAACUUUUCCAAUUUUUCGAAGGAUUUGAAAAGGCCCGUAGUAGCGAGGUGAGAGCUUCAAGUUUCUUCGCAUGGCUACGGACAAUUGACGAUAGGGCUUCAAUCUCAGAUUUUCUCGUAUCAGUUUGGCGAUGAAGUCCCUGUUUCGCAGUUCCUCCUCAACUGCGUGCACUCUGGUUGUUCCUGGCUCAUAAGGCAACAAUUGGGGUGGAGGUUGUCCGUAAACAGCCUCAUAUGGAAGAGGUUGAAGCAACCCCGCUGGGUGGAGGGUUUCAACCUUGUUCCUCUGGCAUACAUCGCACUCUCGAAUGAAAGUUCUUACAUCACUGCGCUGACCAGGCCAAAAAAAUUCCCUUUUAAUCUUUGAAUUUGUUUUAUGAACUCCCGUGUGACCCCCUAAUGGAUUGCUGUGAAAAUACUGCAGGAUCUGCUGCUGGAAUGGCACGAGGGUUCCCAAGUGAAGCCUACCCUUGUAAAAGAGUAGCUCAUUGCGAACUUGGUAUACUGCUGAAUCCAAGGUCCCUUGAUGGUAGAGGUUAAUUAACCUCUGCAACAUUGGAUCUUGGUGGUAAGACUUUUUUAACUCAUCUAUCCAUGUUGCUUUGAUCAUACUGACUGCCUGAAUU